rnacentral:rRNA from 1 species
AGUGAACGCUGGCGGCAGGCCUAAUACAUGCAAGUCGAACGGCAGCACAGCAGAGCUUGCUCUGUGGGUGGCGAGUGGCGGACGGGUGAGGAAUACAUGGGAAUCUGCCCAGUCGUGGGGGAUAACGUAUGGAAACGUACGCUAAUACCGCAUGCGCCCUACGGGGGAAAGUCGGGGACCGCAAGGCCUGACGCGAUUGGAUGAGCCCAUGUUCGAUUAGCUAGUUGGCGGGGUAAAGGCCCACCAAGGCGACGAUCGAUAGCUGGUCUGAGAGGAUGAUCAGCCACACUGGAACUGAGACACGGUCCAGACUCCUACGGGAGGCAGCAGUGGGGAAUUUUGGACAAUGGGCGCAAGCCUGAUCCAGCCAUGCCGCGUGAGUGAAGAAGGC